GUCAAACCUCAGUCAUCAUGGCUAUUAUAACUUUACUGCUGUUGAGUGUUGUCGGAUCUGCAUUUUGCCAUGGCCCAUAUGGUGGUGGAGGCGGCGGAGGGUACAGUGCUGGGUACGGCAGCGGUGGUGGCGGAGGGCUUGGAUCUGGCGGCGGUGGCGGAGUAUUGUUAUUAGACGGUGGAUUAGGAAGAGGAGGUGGUGUUUGGGGAAAAGGAGGUAAGUUAAUGUUACUGUAUUUUAGUUUUAAACUAUAAUUACGUCAUUUCUUCUUUGAUUUGUAUAUAUUUCAUACUGUGUAAGCUAAUUCCAAAGUUGAUUGCUCUAUCGUUUUUCAAUUUUUUUUCAAGGAUAUGGUGGUGGAAGCGGCGGAGGUUAUAGUGUUGGGUAUGGCGGCGGUGGUGGCGGAGGAUUUGGAUCUGGCAUUGGUGGUGGUGGACUAUUGGUAUUAGGAGGAAGCGGAGGAGGCGGAGGUGGUGGAGGAAAAAAGGGUAAAUAAAUGUUACAGUAUUUUAAUUAUGUAUUACCAGUACGUAAGAAUCUUGUGAAAAUGUACAACUAUAAAACUAACUACAUCAACAUGAUCAAGUUUAAGAGAAGCAAUGUUACCGACAAUUGAUAAAGUACAGCGAGAGUAUAAUUGUUAUAAAAGUAAUGCAUUUAUUGAGCUAAAUCAAUUGCUCUAUGCAUGCUCGUGUACAUCUGUAUGCAUGAAAACCUCAAAUAAAGUUACCAUUUUUCUUUUAAAAUGAUAUUGGAAUUGUAAAAAAAAUAGAUUAUAAACUAACUUUAUAUACCUAUAUGGAGUUAUUUUCUUUCAGAAAGAUAGGUAAUUCUUUCGAAGAAUCAACCCGGACGAUACCAUGUUUCAAAGACAUAUGCUCCAAGGCAUAAAAUAACGACCAGUGUGAGGUCAUUAUUUUCCUUGGUGUAAAUGCAAACUAUAAUUUACUUCAAAAUCAUAUUCGUCUGAUAGUUUUUUGUUGACAAAAAUUCAAUCUAUGAUAGGUGUAAAAAAAAUAGCCCGCAUUUUAAUUCAGAAACAAAUAAUGUGAAGUUUUGUAAAUUUAUCGCUACAAUACAGAGACAUUAGCAUAUAUUAUGUUAGAUGAAUUUUAAUGUUAAACUUUCACAACACUUUCAAAUAAAGCCAUAUAACAUAGUCCUUUGUAUCAUUUUGAAAAUCUUAUUGAUUUAGAUUGAAAAUUAAUUGGUUGCAGGUUGAUCAAUGCCAUGCAUAUUCAGGACUAUACACACUGAAUAGGAAAUCAUACUGUUAGCUACAUGUUUUAUAUUCUUUUUCGUUUAAGGGUGGUACCCAACACUUUCACUAAAAUAAAUUUGGCUCGUUUAAUUUUCAUAAAAUUUUGAUAAAGUAUUUUCUUUGACCCUUUAACAGAAAUAUAAAGAUUUCAAAAAUUUUUAACCAACAGUUUUGUCAGAAAAAUUACAGUAUACUGGACGUAUAUAGGGCAGCUGAAGGUUAUAUAGUUUAGUUUGACAAACACCAUUUUUGAUCAUUGAAAAGCUUAAUAUUCCCUUUACAACACAACGUAAUUAAAACGUUAAGCUGAUUUUACAGAGUUAUCUCCCUGUAGUGUUAGGUACCACCUUAACAUGUACAUGUAUCACUAUUUCAGUCCCCCUUCAUGUCAGUUCUUAAUGUUUUAAAUUUAUGUAUAUCUUUUACUGUAUCAAAUGGUCAACAAAUAAAAUAUUCUUAUAUUAUAUUGUGAAAAAUGCAUGUAUACCUCACCAUGGGAUCGGUAGAGUGGAGUGUAUAUAAUAAUACUAAUUAUCUGUUAAAAAUGUAUUGCCUUUCAAAAGAAGAUCAUUCUGAUUAUUUCAUUCGAUUCAAUGAAAAUUGUUUAAAAAAUAAUCACUUUUCCGCGAUAAAAUUGUCAUUACAAUUUUUUGAAAAAAAACACCCCCACCUUCCUUCUUUUCAUACACUAAGUUGGUCCAGUAAAUUACUUACAAAGUGUCUUGUAUUUUUCAUACACCGUUAUAGGAUGGUAACUAUUCAUGUUUGUCUUACUUUAUGCAGUUUGAGUAAUUUGUUUAUUGUGUAUGGAUAAUAUUUAGUACGGUUUAUAUCUAGAUUAAUUAGAGAGUUUUAUUUCACAUUCUAAAUGAGCCGUAGGGCGUAUUAAAACAUGAAGGCAUUAAAAAGGUAUAUCAGUUUGGUCGGUAAACUAGGAUGCUAAAUUUUGCAAAUCUUUAAAAAAAAAAAAAAUUGUUUUAUGGUAUGUAAGUAGUAUAAUGCAAAUUUUGAGGUUUUUCUUGUCGUUGAACAUACCUCGGGAUGUCAGGAUUGCUUACUCGAUCAAUCCUCACACCCCUCGCUAUGUUCUACGACAGGAAAAACCUUAUAAUAUGCAUUGUCUAUAACGUAAUAAAAACAAGAUGAAAACAAGAAUAAGUUUAUGCGUCCGAACUGGUUUUUCAGAAACGUUCAUAGCCAAAUAUAUCAAAGCCGUAAAUGCAUGUUUAAGUUCCUAAACAUUGGAAAAGGUAAACGACAAAUAAAAUACAUAAACAAUAGCCAAAUCUAUCUAAGGUCAACUUUGCCUCAAGGAGUGAAAUCUAAGUUUCUUUAUAAUUUUAAAAUUUAUAAAUGAACAUAUUCUCAAAUUGCCUGAAGUAUAUUGAAAAUAUCUGUUGAUAUUAUUCCUUUUUACAAAGACACCGACCUGUAUUUUACUAUUAAUUUCAAGAGUUAAAUUAUCCAUAUAGCCUCAAUAUUACUUAGUUGAUUAUUGAUGCGUAUCCCUUGUUAAUCAAGAAAAUAAUUAUACAUGUAGCUAUUAAAUACAACAUGUGUUGAACAUUGUUGAUUACAGGUGGUCAAGUAUGGUGUACCUGUCGUAAGGGACAAUGUUUUAAAGGAGAAUUUGUUUUGGACAAGUAUUGCAGACUAACACCCUUAUUCCCAGGGAAAUGGACUACAUGCAGCAAGGUGUUACCAGGAAGUGUAACUGAUCGUAGUUACGGGGGAGGUGGUGGAGCUGGAUUCGGUGGCGGUGCUGGAAUCGGCGGUGGAGCUGUAAUUGUAGUUGGAUCUGGUGGAAGAGCUGGAUUCGGAGGAGGAUCUGGUGGUGUUGGCAAAUCUGGAUAUGGUGGAGGAUCUGGUUAUGGUGGAGGAUCCGGGUAUGGAAGUGGAUCUGGAUAUGGAGGUAGAAAAGGAAGUACAUACUAAACAAAAUUUGUCUAACAGAAGUUAUUUAGCAAAUGAAUGUGUUUUCUGAUAUAUGUUAAAAUACAAUUAAAACAUAUUCAUGCACAAUGUUUGUUUUUUGUAUUUUAAAUGUUGAAACAAACGUUGUUGUUUUUAUUUUGUUGAAAUAACGAUACAUACAUAAUAAUGUUUCCAUCUAAAGUAAGAUGAAAGCUUUCAAAGAUUUCAAUUAACAAUUUUUUUGAAAAUUAAAAUGAUGUUCUUUAAACCUGAGUUACUAUUGGUUUUCCUCGUCGUUUUUUGUUGCACGUCAAAAGGAUUUGAAUACCAAUCAAGCGUUUCAUCCAUAAUUUGUUGUCUUAAGGUGGUAUGGGAGUCUAAAAUAAAAAAAUGAUAGAAUUUGUUCAUACUUUUCCAAAACCUAGUAUCUUUGAUAUAUGGUCAAAAACAUAAAAAAUAAUAGGUAACCGCGCAUUUUCUCAAGCUACAGGUUGUGACAGAUUGACACAUUUUGUAUGGAUUACAUAGGAAAAAACACCAUGUCGUGAUAUUAAACUAAACAGAAUGAUAGAACUGUAAAAGAAAUUAGAAUAAGAAUAGAUUUCAGACAAUGCUUUGAGAAUAUCAAAAGAAAAUAUAGGGUCACCGUACUUUUUUCCGACUGAAAAACAAAAUAGGAAAAAUCUAUGUAGAUUUCUUCAGAAAAUGCAAUGGUUUAGAGUUACAUCCCCUUCAAAUGCCAAUCUAAAAACAUUUAAAAAACAACCAAGUAUAAUAUAAACUUGUAAAAAGUAUUAAUGUUUAUAAGUUGUAUUCUUAUAGAUUGGUUCUUUUAACUGAAAAUUCACAUGAGAUAUCUGCAUUCCUGUAUCAAGUUUUGCUAACUUGAUAGAAAAUCUGGACCUUAGAUUCUCUGGUUUUUACAAUCCAAAAUGGCGAAAGACACCCAUACUACAUUAAAAACACUUCCCAAAACAUUCAAAAUCUGAAUUUCAAAAAGUCCUCCCACUGUUUCCACUGUCAUCAUCUUAUGGCGUUUAGAUAUCUCAACUUGUUCUUUUUUCUCGUCUUUUAACAACGUAUUUGAUUUUAACAAAAGAAAUACCUGUAUUACUGAAAAAUUAUUACACCACGGUUUUCAAUAUUUGCAAAGUAGUCAAAACAUCUUCUAAAAUGUUUCUUUGGUACAAUUAUUAAGAGCAUUAUUCAUAGAUAUCAAUCAACAUGCAUUCAUCUUAUAUACUUUUCUUCUCUUAUAAAUUGUUACUUGGAUUGAGAGGUGUUUCAUUGGCAUUCAUAUUACAUCUUACUAUAGCUAUAUCAAAUCUGUUAUGGUAAUAUACUACACAAACCACAAACAAAAUCACAGAGUGGACGUGGCCGGGUAUUUGAAUAUCCCAACAACAUAAAGACAUCAAGUACAGAUCUUAGAGUAUUUGCAGUAACUGAAAGCUAGUUCAAAGCUAACAACAACUAAUACAAAUAAAAAAUGCAAUUGAGGCUAACUUAAUAAUCAUUACACAUCUAACAUCCAAUUGAUUAAGUUUAAAGACGUCUUAUGGUGUACUGUUACACCACUACCCUUGUAUAAGGGGAGGGUGUGUAUUCCGCUAACAUGUUUAACCCCGCCUGUAAUUCAGCGGUUGUCGUUUGUUUAUGUGUUACAUAUUGUUUUUCGUUAAUUAUUUGUACAUAAACUAGUGCCGUUAGUUUUAUCGUUUUAAUUGUUUUACAUUGUCAUUUCGGAGCCUUUUAUAGCUGACUAUGCGGUAUGGGCUUUGUUUAUUGUUGGAGGCCAUACAAUGGUCUAUAGUGGCUAAUUUCUGUGUCGUUUUGGUCUCUUAUGGAGAGUUGUCUCAUUGGCAAUCAUACCACAUCUUCUUCUUUUUCAUAUAAGCACUCAGAAAAAAAAAACUUUACUUUAUGCAAUGCCAAAAUACAGAUAACAACUGAUUGUAUAGAUCCAUGAAUGUAUAUACGUAUAUGCAUAGCAAUAAUAUAUAGUUUGAUUUUAAUUUAAUAAAAACAAAAUCAAUGAAUAACACCAAUAAAACAAAUUAAAGAUAAAAUAACACUGUUACAGUGGUAAUCUUUAACAAUAAGUUUAUCUAAAGGAUCGAUAGGUUUACCAGGAUCAUUUUAAAUAUCCGAGCUCGAUAUACAAUAUCUCCGUAAAAAUGAGAAUGAAUUAUUCCGUUAAAAUACGUUUUUAAAACAAAAUAUUUAUAUCCAAUGGAGAAUAAAGUAAAAGUUUUAAGUUAUAUGUGGUAACGAAAUUCCUAACUUAUUAAUUUACGAGUUAUAAAUAUAUUAAUUUCGAUUACAUCUAAAACGUCGUGACAAACACGGUCAUAGCGAACGAAUUGUAAAAUAUAAACACCAUAAGAUAGUGCCAAACGAAUAUCUACAUAUAAGUCAUUAUUCACGUUUACAUUUGAUUUGUUUAAAUUAAGUUUCUUUGUGUACAUUUCGGCAGUAAUUUUUGAAAAAUCUUGAUGAUUCAACGAAAACAUAUCAUUAAAAUAACGGUAAGUGUUGUUGGAAAAAUCAAUUUCGCUGGGGUCUUUACCGUUUUUUGUUUAUAAUCUGUGCUUCAUAAGAGUACAAAAUAUAAGUUUGCUAUUAAAGGAGCGAAAUAAAUGGCUUUUGGAAAACCUACAAUCCGUCGAUAAACUUUGUUGCUAAAACGUACAUAAAAAUUAUUAAGGAGAAAUUUAACAGCUUGAAUCAUCUCACCUCCAUUUAGUAUUUCAAGUAUAUUUACUUUCUUCGUUAGAGAAGAAUGCUCUAAUUGAGAUACAGCCAAUUAUUUGCAUUCAGAUUGACCAAUGAACAUUAGACAGUGAGGUUUUAGGUUAAAUUAGAGUCAGGUACCAAUUCACUCUUAUAUGAUGCCUACUGACUUGACAUAACUUAUCAACGUGUAAGUAUGUAUGUUAUAGCAUAAUAAUGUGUGUUGCAAGUGAAUUUGGAAAUGCCUCCUUUCAAGAUUGCAUGAGAUUACUUAUGAUUUGUUUAUUUGUUUCUCAAUUUGUGCCAUUGCAUUAACAGUUAGUUGUCGAAUUAUUUUAUUUUUGCCGAUGCUUUUUUCACGAUCAAAAUAAACUUGAUGAGUAUAUCAACCUGAAUUUGCAUUAUACAAUGCUUAUUGAGUAUACAGAUACUCACACGUCUUUGGCAUUCGUAUAUUUUGGUUAGAGCGAUCCUGUUCAAAGUAAAUUAAAAAAAGCGAUAUUCUGAAUAUAUAAAUGCAUGGUGGUUUAUUCAUCUUAAAUAUUAACAACUAAUUCUUAUAUUAUUUGCAUUUAAUGCAAUACAUUUAUAUGAUUGGUUGAGAGGACUUCCGGUAGUGGAUUUGCCGUUGUUUUUUUGUUUGUUUUUUUUUCGCUAGAAGACGUUAACCGAACUAAUUAUUGUAACGAAUGUAAACAAGAUGGGGGCAAUUAUAUCACAAUCCGGUUGGACGUUGAAAUUAUUUAUUUUCACUUCGUGUUGACCGAUAAAUUUAAUGAUAAACACACAACAUUCAUUACAAUGAUUAUAAGAUAUGUUUUAGUUUUUUUUUAAUCAUCAUACAGCAAAAUACAAUGACUACAUAUUUUUGCGUUAACCAACAAAUAUAUGCAUGUGCCAGACCAGAGCAUGGACAAAUAAAUUCCUUAUCACACAUUUUAAAGAACAAUCAGGAUUAAACGCCUUUUAAAAGUAUUUAAUUGGUGUAUGAACUGGAACUAGUCACUCACAAACAUAUCAUUAAAAUCCUUUGAAUAUGUUUUUGUAUUUGAGCGAAUUGGUCGAGUUUAUACACAAAUACAUUCCUUUAAAAAGGCGUUUAAUCCUAUAAUGGUACAAACGGGCUUUCAAUAUCAUAUGUCGAAAAUUAACCUGUAAAGACAUGGUUAAGAAAAGAAAAUACAAACAGAAAACAGACGAACGAUAUUAUAGUAUAAAACACAACAAGGAAAACUAAAGAAUUUCGUGAUCUCGGUUGCUAAGGAACAGUAAGCAAACGCUUGAUCACAAAUGGCAUCAGACGUAUUGCUUAUGGUAGUACAAACUUAGUUUUAUAUUUCAUUCGGUAGGUCAUCUUCGUACAAAUAAAAUGGGAUUGUAGCAACGACAGUUUUCAAACAAUAUUCGCUAUAAUCUGUGAAACGGAUAUUCCAUAACUAUCAACCAAAUAUAUAUUACAGAAAACUAUACAACUGACUAAACAAUUAUAACAAACACACAAACAUAAAUUUCCCAUGAGUACUCUGACUAAUGCGAAAUCAUAAGAUACUAAACGAUUGCACGUAGCAAUACAAUAUUCGAUUAAGGUCAAUACCAUUUAUCAGCUCAGGGACACACUCUUUUUAUAUUAAAAUAAAAAUAAGGAAAGAAAUUACAUGACCAUCCGUCACUUCUAAUUGGCAUACAAAAGCGAUUGAGUUCAGUUUAUCUUCCUGCUGAUAACAGAAAUACAUGAUUGGUGUUUUAAAAAGCAUGUAGACAUUUAUUUCUUUUUUUCUAUUAGAUGAUUUGGAUUGAUUUGGGGAACUUAAUUAGGUGUUGUCUGAUAAUUGUUGACUUAUAAGUUUGAAUGUGCCUCUGUUAUCUUGUGCCCCUCUUUGACAAAAAAAAAUCAAAAUGCUCCUCAUUCAAAAAUGUGUAUUCGUGUUUUAUCAAAAUACAUGAAUUAAAAUGGAUGUUUGCUAUUUAAAAGUGUAAUUCUAUUGUCUUUGGACUAGUUUUUAUUCCUUUUUUUACUACUUUUUGGUGUUUAGAAGUAAUUAAGGAAAAACUAAUAUUUUUUCUGUCUAUGAAGAAAUAACAUUAAAAAAUUUGGUGCACACUGAAUAACGCGCGUAGCGGGGUUAUAACAGUGUGCACACCACAUUUUUAUUUAUUUCGAAUAGACAGAAAAAAAAUAUUACAGUCAUUUUCUAUAAUUUUAAUUCUAAUUCAUUUAAACCGUAGAAAACCAUGAAAAAACGUUGAUGACUUCACGAUCACAUGACUAAAUUAUGUCUAUGGGCUCAUAACAAAAUAACGUCAGCCAAUCAGAAGACCCGUUACAUCCAAAAUUAAAGUAUUGUUAAAUAAUGGGAAGAACUUUUACGAUAAAAUAAAUAGCAAUGUUUAUAUUUUGGAUGAAAAUUUUUCAACCUCGGUAUUGAUGUUAUACUCUUCAACUUUGUGUUUCUUUGGCUUUAUUGCUAUUAUGAUCUGAGCAUCAAUGAUGAGUCUUAUGUAGACGAAACGCGCGUCUGACUAAUUGAAUUAGUAACCUUGUAUCAAUAAUACUAUAUACUGAUUUUAUUUUUUUUUUGUACUUUCAAUUCUCAUUUAUGAUUGAUAAGAUUUCACCAAUUGUAUAUUGUUUGACUGGGAAAUGUUAAAAUGGGUUGGUAUGCAUCAUAAACCAAUGGAGAAAAAAGCAAUAUGAACAUUAGGUGAUUUUUAAAAUCCAGUCGGAUGCCUGACAUGGAUUUUAUUUGAAGUCAUUAUAUGUAAGAUACCGCGACAAGUAUAUAAGUACAUGCAUAUUCCUCGUUCUCAUAUGAUUCGUAUAUCUCCAGUGUUCCCGAUGAAGAUAAUGAAGACAAAUGAGCUUCACUUUGUUUGUUUUACAGAUGUCAGCAAUUUAUUUAUUUUAUUUUCAAUAUGUUAUUUGUUUUAUUGAUGUUACUUUUGUUAUUGAUUAUUUCAUGUAAAAAGCAAAAUCACAAAAAUACUGAACUCCGAGGAAUUUUUAAAAACAAAAGCUCCUAGUCAAGUGAUAAAACAUAUCAAACAAAUGGACAACAACUGUCAUAUUCCUCACUUGGUACAGGCAUUUCUAAAUGUAGAAAAUGGUGGAUUUAACCUGGUUUUAAAGCGUUUAAUCUCUCAGUAAGACAGUUGCAUCAAAUACAAUUAUAUUUACAUCGAUGCGUGAAAAAAAACAGACAUAAUAGGUAAAAUUGGCAUUGUCAUCACUGUGUCACAAUCUCACAAUACAAACCAAUGUUGAACAAAAAAGCACAAAAACGUCUAUUAAAUUUAACAACCACAGUGCCUACUUAUAUUUGUAUUCUAAAUCAACCCAAAACGGAUUAGAAUAUUUGAAGUCCUCGCGUGCAUGACGUCAGAAAAUGUAAACGUAACACAGGAAAAAAUACAAAAUAAUUUUGUCGUCCAAAGUAUUUCGAAAUUAAAAUUUCACAUGGGAAAUGGUGGUCUAAACGGUUGAAAAAUCAAAAGUUUUGUUUGAACUAAUUUCACUUUAAAAAGACCGAGAUUAAAAACUAUCCAGUAGUUCUUCAGAUUUGUGAAGAAUCCACAUACGGUUAAAACCACUACACACGUUAAAUGAUUUUGUCGUUCCAAGUAUUUCCAACACGAUAAUAGAACAAUAACAUAAUAACAUUAUAAUAGAACAAUACGAUUUUGGUGGAAUCUUUAAAAGUACAGAGCCAUGUCAUGUAUACAAAAGAUACACAAAAAGUCAUACGAAGUAAAAAAAAACACCAGCAAAAGUGAAAGAUUAUGCAAACACAUUGAAGGAUGGAUAUGUUUCCAGCAACAACAAAUGGAAGAAAGACAACUACACAUAAAAGAACAAUAUUACGUAUAUUAGGAAUUAUUACUUCCCAACAAAUAAGCCUACAUAAUGUAAUACAUUUUUUUUUGUAUUUAGAAUAGUGAUGUAAUCAUGUAUUAGAUUAUGAUAAGAAGAACAUAGGGUAUACAUGUAAUAUCAAAGUUUGAUAACAUUGUUUCUGUAAUCAAACAUCUCACUUUCAUCAUUAGCAAUACAACAUCUCACUUUCAUCAUUAGCAAUACAACAUCUCACUUUCAUCUUUAGCAAUACAACAUCUCACUUUCAUCAUUAGCAAUACAACAUCUCACUUUUAUCUUUAGCAAUACAACAUCUCCCUUUCAUCAUUAGCAAUACAAUUAAGAAUGUACACCUCUGAGGAGCCAAUAGAGGCAACGGUAGUAUACCGCUGUUCAAAACUCGUUAAUCCAUGGACAAAAAACAAAAUCGGGGUAAAACUAAAAACUGAGGGAAACGCAUUAAAUAAAAGAGAACAACGACACAACAUUAAAAUGUAACACACACAGAAGCGGACUAAGCAUUAGACAAAAUCCGAUGAGAAUAGCCAAUAUAACAUCAAAACCAAAUAAAAUGAAUUUGGGAUAGAAAAGUACCGUGACACGUGAAACGAACUAUGACUUGGUACAGGACAUUUUUAAAGAAAAAACGGUGGGUUGAACCCGGUUUUGUGGCAUGCCAAACCCUGCACUUUAAUGGCAUUGUUAAAUAUAACAUUAAAAUGACAACAUAAUAAUACACGACUACAAUACAAACAAAUAGGAGAACGUAGUAGGGAAAGAAAUAUACAAACAAUAUAUAACAAAAGGCAUCAGGUUUAAAAUUCAAUACGUCAAACAUUUCUAGAAAUAUUUUGUUUUUCUAAACCUGAUUUUUGGGUUUAUAUAACUGUAAAACAAUAAUUGGUGUAGAAAACUUCAUAUGGUGGUGCACUUCUUUUUCUGUUACACGAAAAAGCAUAAAAAAUGAUAAAACUUUCUUAUAUUAACACCUACCUUUAGUAAUUUUAUCAUUUUUUAUGCUUUUUCGUGUCGAAUUUACCAUGUUGUCAAUUUUGUAAAUUUGUGAUUUUUCUCAGUUUAAAGACCAAAAUGCAAAUUAUUUGAAAUUCUUUGUUAUAAAUGAUUGAAAAAAUACAUAUCUAAGAAAUUUGAAAAAAUAAAAAGUCAUAUGGGAUGGACAUGUUUCUGGUAAAGUCAAUUUUUGUAACCCUCGCCCAUUUCUUCAAAAUUUUGGCUAAAAAGACUGACUAGUUUAGUAAUAAAAUUUGAAAAUGUUAUUACUCAAAAAUUGCUCAUUGGAAAUACACAAUUUGUUCAGAGUUAAGUUUGAUUCCAUGUUUUGGAAAUAUAUUCAGAACGAGAUUUCAAUGAGACUGACAGAGACUAAAACAUCAAAAGAAUAUACCCUUAAUAAGGUUUCAAAAUAUCUAAUUUUCCUCAACUAAAAGAGAAAAUGUUUCCAUUACUCAUCAAAGGAAGGUAACUUCAAAGCUGAGAAUGACAUAAUAUUUCAAUUGAUUGUUGUAAAAAACUAAGGUCAUGCCGAAUCACUUAUAAUCAAUCAAGUUUAAUUGAUUUAGUAUUAUCAAUCCUAAUCAAAGAAGUUGUGUUUACAUCCAAUGGUAUAAAUACAGAUCUAAACAGCUGUAUCACCACAGUUAAAAUCGUCAACCCUCAGUCAUCAUGGCUUUUAUAACUUUGCUGCUUUUGAGUGUUGUCGGAUCUGCAUUUUGUCAUGGCCCAUAUGCUGGUGGAGGCGGAGUACAGUGGUGGGUAUGUGUAGCGGCGGCGGAGUAUUGUUAUUAGACGGUGGAUUAGAGAGGAGGAGGAGGUGGUGGUGGUUGGGGAAAAGGAGGUAAGUUAAUGCUACUGUAUUUUAGUUUUAAACUAUAAUUAUGUCACUUCUUCUUUGAUUUGUAUAUAUUUCAUAUUGUGUAAGAUUAUUCCAAAGUUGAUUGCUCUAUCGUUUUUUAAUUUUUUUCAAGGAUAUGGUGGUGGAAGCGGCGGAGGUUAUAGUGUUGGGUAUGGCGGCGGUGGUGGCGGAGGAUUUGGAUCUGGCAUUGGUGGUGGUGGACUAUUGGUAUUAGGAGGAAGCGGCGGAGGCGGAGGUGGUGGAGGAAAAAAGGGUAAAUAAAUGUUACAGUAUUUUAAUUAUGUAUUACCAGUACGUAAGAAUCUUGUGAAAAUGUACAACUAUAAAACUAACUCCAUCAACAUGAUGAAGUUUAAGAGAAGCAAUGUUACCGACAAUUGAUAAAGUACAGCGAGUGUAUAAUUGUUAUAAAAGUAAUGCAUUUAUUGAGCUAAAUCGAUUGCUCUAUGCAUGCUCGUGUACAUCUGUAUGCAUGAAAACCUCAAAUAAAGUUACCAUUUUUCUUUUAAAAUGAUAUUGGAAUUGUAAAAAAAUAGAUUAUAAAUUAACUUUAUAUACCUAUAUGGAGUUAUUUUCUUUCAGAAAGAUAGGUAAUUCUUUCGAAGGAUCAACCCGGACGAUACCAUGUUUCAAAGAAAUAUGCUCCAAGGCAUAAAAUAACGACCAGUGUGAGGUCAUUAUUUUUCUUGGUGUAAAUGCAAACUAUGAUUUACUUCAAAAUCAUAUUCGUCUGAUAGUUUUUUGUUGACAAAAAUUCAAUCAAUGAUAGGUGUAAAAAAAAUAGCCCGCAUUUUAAUUCAGAAACAAAAACUGUGAAGUUUUGUUAAUAUAUCGCUACAAUACAGAGACAUUGGCAUAUAUUAUGUUAGAUUAAUUUAAAUGUUAAACUUUCACGAUACUUUCAAAUAAAGCAAUAUAACAUAUAAUUUUGUAUGAUUUUGAAAAUCUUAUUGAUUUUGAAAAUUUGGUUGGGUUGAUCAAUGCCAUGCAUAUACUAUAGAAAUCAUAGUUAUACAUGUUAAUUCUUUUUCGUUUAACAUGUACAUGUAUCACUAUUUCAGUCCCCUUUCAUGUCAGUUUUUAUUUUUUAAAUUUAUGCAUAUCUUUUACUCUAUCAAAUGGUCAACUAAUAAAAUAUUCAUAUAUUCUAUUGUAGAAAAUGCAUGUAUACCUCACCAUGGGGUCGGUAGAGUGGAGUGUAUAUAAUUAUAUAUUAAUUAUCUGUUAAAAAUGUAUUGCCUUUCAAAAGAAGAUCAUUCUGAAUAUUUCAUUCGAUUCAAUUAAAAUUGAUUAAAAAAUAAUUACUUUUCCGCAAUAGAAUUGUCAUUACAAAUUUUCAAAAAAACCAAACCAACCCCCACCACCCCCUUUCUUUCCAUACACUAAGUUGGUCCAGUAAAUUACUUACAAAGUGUCUUGUAUUUUUCAUACACCGUUAUCAGAUGGUAACUAUUCAUUUUUGUCUUACCUUAUGCGGUUGUAGUAAUUUGUUUAUUGUGUAUGGAUAAUAAUUAGUACGGUUUAUAUCUAGAUUAAUUAGUGCGUUUUAUUUCACAUUCUAAAUGAGCCGUAGGGCGUAUUAAGAUAUGAACGCAUCAGAAAGGAAUAUCAGUUUGGUCGGUAAACUAGGGUGCUAAAAUUUGCAAAUCUUUUAAAAAACAAUCAAUUGUUGUAUGGUAUAUAAGUAAUAUAAUGCACAUUUUGAGGUUUUUCUUGUCGUAGAACAAACCUCGGGAUGUCAGGAUUGCUUUAAGAAAGACCUCAUUACGGUCGGUCUUUCAUUUGAUCAAUCCUUACACCCCUCGCUGUGUUCUACGACAAGAAAAACCUUAAAAUAUGCAUUAUAUAUAACGUAAUAAAAAAGAUGAAAACAAUAAUAAGUUCAUGCAUCCGAACCGGUUUCUUCAGAAACGGUCAUAGCCAAAUAUACGAAAGCCGUAAAUGCUGACUUCAUGCAGGAACUUCUUAGGAAGAAAGAUAAGAAGUUAGCAAUAUCCUUUAACUCUACUUUCCGCUAUAUAGAUGAUGUUCUUUCACUAAAUAAUUCAACAUUUGGUGACAUGUUGUCCCUUCGGUAUCUUUCGUGCCUCUUUUAAGUUCCUGAACAUUGGAAAGAGGUAAACGACAAAACAAAAUACAUAAACAAUAGCCAAAUAUAUAUAAGGUCAACUUUGCCUCAGGAGUUGAAACCUAAGUUUCUUCAUAACUUCAAAGUUUAUAAAUGAACAUAUUCUCAAUUUGCCUGAAGUAUAUUGAAAAUAUGUGUUGCUAUUGUUCCAUUUCACAAUACACCGAUCGGUAUUCUACUAUUAAUAUCAAGAGUAGAAUUAUCUAUAUAGCCUCAUUAUUGCUUAGUUGAUUUUUUAUGCCUAUCCCUUGUUCAUCAAUAAAAUAAUUAUACUUGUAACUAUUAAAUACAAUAUGUGUUGAACAUUGUUGAUUACAGGUGGUCAAGUAUGGUGUACCUGUCAUAAAGGACAAUGUUUUAAAGGAGAAUUUGUUUUGGACAAGUAUUGCAGACUAACACCCUUAUUCCCAGGGAAAUGGACUACAUGCUGUAAGGUGUUACCAGGAAGUGUAACUAACCGUAGUUACGGGGGAGGUGGUAGAGCUGGAUUCGGUGGUGGUGGUGGAUUCGGUGGCGGUGCUGGAAUCGGCGGUGGAGCUGUAGUUGUAGUUGGAUCUGGUGGAGGAGCUGGAUUCGGAGGAGGAUCUGGUGGUGGUGGCAAAUCUGGAUAUGGUGGAGGAUCUGGUUAUGGUGGAGGAUCCGGGUAUGGAAGUGGAUCUGGAUAUGGAGGUAGAAAAGGAAGUACAUACUAAACAAGAUUUGUCUAACAGAAGUUAUUUAGCAAAUGAAUGUGUUUUCUGAUAUAUGUAAAAAUACAAUUAAAACAUAUUCAUGCAAAAUGUUUAUUUUUAUUAUUAUUGUUGAAACAAACGUUGUUG
rnacentral:lncRNA from 1 species